GUCGAGGAUCAUUCGCAAUGGGCGCAAGCCUGACGAUGCGACGCCGUGUGAACGAAGAAGGCCUUCGGGUUGUAAAGUUCUUUCGCUUGGGAACAAGAGAGUUGGCUGAAUAGGCCAAUGAUUUGAGUGUACCAGGUAAAGAAGCACCGGCUAACUCCGUGCCAGCAGCUGCGGUAAUACGGAGGGUGCAAGCAUUAAUCGGAUUUAUUGGGCGUAAAGGGCGCGUAGGUGGUUUGGCAAGUCAGAUGUGAAAUUCUAGAGCUCAACUUUAGAGCUGCAUCUGAAACUGCGAGACUAGAGGGUAGACGGAGAAAAUGGAAUUCCACGUGUAGCGGUGAAAUGCGUAGAUAUGUGGAGGAACACCGGUGGCGAAAGCGGUUUUCUAGUUUAGACCUGACACUGAGGCGCGAAAGCGAGGGGAUCAAACAGGAUUAGAUACCCGUGUAGUCC
rnacentral:rRNA from 1 species